AUCACUUCUCGGCCUUUUGGCUAAGAUCAAGUGUAAAAGUUCUGACUAGUCUUAUUUAUAGUUACAAACCUAAAAACUAUAAAGAGUUAUUAUAAUUUAACUUGGCUGAAUGAGUGCACUAUGGUUUAUAAACAAAUUGUCUUCUGUGUUUUUAUCCAUCAGUC
rnacentral:snRNA from 1 species